GUAGGUUUUCCACCGGGAGAACAAUUUCUAGAUGCUAAAUUGAAAUGUAUUGUCCAGUGUCUUGCGAUGUCAUUCUUUCAUUAUUCAAGCCCUUGAACACAGAACAAGGAAACAAGGAUAUUUCAGAGUCCCAGUUUCACUGCCUUCGUGGACGCUGGAGCCACUGCCACCUUUACUAUGUGUGUGGUUAGGGUAUAGAUCAAACUACAAUUCAACAAUGGCAUUGUGUGGCGAUGAACACAUGACCAGCAAGGGGCCCUGCCCCCCUCCCAAUACUAUGGAUUUGUUCAUAAUAAACACAUGAACAAUGCAGCAUUUGCCUUGUUUUCUGCUCCAACCGGCCCUCCCCAACAUCCUAAUCCCACUAAUCCCGCCUCCGCCACUGCAGGCAUGCCGGCCUUUUCUUAAUUGCUAUACUUUUGAGGACGCAUCACUAAAAAAACUAAAAGAGGUUUCAUGGCAAUGAUGAAGUGCUACCAAAUUAUGUUCCAAGAAAAAUGAUUUCUGCUUCAACUUGACUACAUGCAUGUUGAAUUGUUGACCCGAUUUGACGGACUAUAUAAGUGCUCUUCUCCUUGGGAAUUUGAAAGCACGCCCCUUCUAAGCAUCGCACAAUAUAUAUGCUUAUAUAUGUGGUAGCAGUCAUUGGUACAAGCAUAUGUGCAUUAGACCAGAAAAAAGGUUUCAAACUCGCAGAGCAUAUUGAAGGUGGUACAAAUCAUUGCAGAGUGAAUUACAAGUAGCUAUAUGUGGAUUGGAAUUUACUGAAGCUUUGCAUAUUCAAAAUUUUAAGUUAAAUGAGACGUGCAUUGCACGUGCAAGGUUACUAGUGGUAGUAAAGGAGCAGGCGAACAAGACGGUAAGAAAGGGAUCCCACCCGGUGCUGAGCCCUCUCUCCAACCGUGUGAGCGAACGCAUGGGAAGUCAAAAAGCAUGCACCGUGCGUGCAUCAUCUGUGGUGGUUAAGAGAUGGACUGACACAUGCUCACACGUUGCUGCCUUUUCGCACUAUGACUGGUGGGCCGAGUUGGCUGCUGAUCCCACGGGUAUGUGCCUUGCCUUUGUUCUCGCUCGUGUAUCAUCUGGGGUUGGAGAGAGCCGGCUCGUGGGUCGUGCGUCGUGUCGUGCGCCAUGCCGGGUCCUGCGGCUGGGUGUGGGUGUUCGCUUUUGAUGCAGCGCUGAACAUGCAGCGAAGACAGUGUUCCCUCCCGUCCCAAGCCGUGCACCCCCUCCUUCCCUCUCUCCUCCUUUCUCCUCCCUAGCCACCGAUCUGCCUUCUCGUCUCGCUGCUUCGUCUCCUCCACCGCCUUGUCUCCGGCCGCUGGCCUCCCGGCAGCCCUACCUCACAACAUGUUUCUCGAGGAGCAACGCGAGCAAGGCCAGCAUACGAAAGGAGUGGAUCGAGGCUUCGCACGCUGGCUCCGUCAUCUGCUUCGCCACGUUCUGGAUUCGCGCCGCCGUGUGUGAUGGUUCUAGAUCAGUGCAGGUCAUCGCCGCGGGAUAUCAGGGGCGGUGGGUUCUUCACAUCGAGGGUUGGCAAGCUGGGGAGGGUCAAGAGGCUGACAUGGCAUGUUUAGAGCAGCGAGGUCGGCUGUAGGGGAGCGGCUACCCCGGAGCUUCAGACUGCGCACGCGUCGCGAGUUUGGCUAUGGGGGAGCGGUUGCCCGGAGCUCGGUUGCGCACGCCUCAUGGGAUCUGGUCUCACCUGGCACUCGAUGCCGGCCUCGUCGGCUUCCCGAGGUGACACAACGACGGUCACACUCGACACCCUCUUUCAUGAUUCGACGACAGCCGGCUCAUACGGCGGCCUCAGCGGGUAGCUGACGACGACUGCAGCUGGUGCACGAGCUCUCAGUCGACAUAUCCACACUCGACUCCUCGUCUCGGGUGCGGAGUGCGGACUGAGAGUUGGAUGCUCUGUGCUAGCAUAUAGAAGUGUUGCAACCACCACUGUUCCGGCUGUGAGAUUCUUAAUUCGGUGGUUCUUGAUUGCAACCUGGGGUCAUCCUGUUCCUACUCACAUGUUACAGUAGUGUUUUGUAUAAUAUACCCAACCUCUCGCUCCUGAAAAUUACCCGUCUUCUCUGAUGCACGCGGGUCACUGGAGGAGAGGGGGUCUGGCUUGUGAGUUUCGCCGAUGCGGUCACAACGGCGAUGCCAAACUCUGAGGAGAUACUAAAGGUGUAUUGGGAGGCGGUGCUUCCUGGAAUCCCAAUGCCUCCACCUAUUAUCAACCUGCUGUUAGCCCAGCAAAAUGGUAUCUCUCUCCUUCCCUCCCUCCCUCCCUUCCCACCUUGGUGACCUCAUUUAAGUGGUUUUGAUAAUUGGUGGUACAACUUUCCCUCUUUGAUACCUACAAAUUCUUUAUAACGACUCUUAGUUUGCAAUCCAUUAUGGAACAUAAAUGAACAUACUAGAUGUGAAUCUUUUGUUAUGAUGAAUGAUAAAUGUUUGACUUAAAGCAUAGACUAUCGCAUAUACAAUACAAUAUGUGUACCAUAAAGGAUAAAUUAACCUUUUCUCUACCGGUGAACUGAGAGCUUACAGUGGCUAAUUUGAUAAGAAGCAUAGUACUUGUAUCAUUCAGAAAAUGACCCUUUUGUACUUCAUUUUCAGGGAUAGUCCUAUUGUGCUUUGUUUUUAUAUGAUCUAAAACUACAGAGUUCUUGUGCAGUUCAGAUGUUCUGUUUUGUACGAAUUUUACUAUAUCUGAACUUCUGAAAUUAGUAUAAGUCUAACAGCCUUGCAACCAAACCAAAACUAAAACUGCAGGGAUCUUGUGACAGCCUUGCAACCAAAACUAGAACUACAGGGAUCUUGUGUAGUUGAAAGCUAGCUGUCGUUUGUUGGAAUAUCAAUUAUCUUGUUUGUGCACGAUUAACCUGCUUAUCAUGAAAAGGUAGAAUAUUUUAGGACAGACCAUCAAGUUGGUUGGGAUUUGUUUAGAUCUUUAUGAGAAGCAGCUCUUCUCAGUGGGACUUUUCUUUUUUAUCCAGCCUAAACAUAUUCAGCCUUUCACCUAAAAUGUUAUUACUUUCUCAUGUCCUACUUUUUGUUACACGAUGUUCAAGAAAGAAUUAUGGAUCAUUUUGUCAUGAAGCAUGAUCAGUGCCACCUCUUUCUUCUGUGUAGUGCUAGGCUAGAUUGGUAUUCUGUUUACUGCUCCAGUUGGAUUAUAUCUCAAACUUCUCUUGUUCCUAUGCUGAGAUUCUCCUAGCCAGUGGCAAGGGUACAUACUGCCUCAUCUUCUUUUUUCCUUUACAUUUUUCUUCGAUUGGAAGGAGUGGAUUACUGCCACCAAGUUCUUGGAUAAAAUGAAGAAAGAUAUGUAUGACGUCAUGUCAGUUAUUUUGUUUUACAACAAAAUGGAUAGUUCAUGUAUUCCCUACCGAGCAAGAUUUAUGUUGAGGUGUGGCAUCUAUUUUGCAUUUCUUGAUUAUGGAUUUUUGAUAAUGCGAAGUUUUUAUUCGGAA